rnacentral:rRNA from 1 species
UCCUACGGGAGGCAGCAGUGGGGAAUAUUGGGCAAUGGGCGGAAGGCUGAACCAGCCAAGUCGCGUGAGGGAAUAAGGCCCUAUGGGUCGUAAACCUCUUUUGUCAGGGAGCAAAGGUGUCCACGAGUGGACGAAAGGAGAGUACCUGAAGAAAAAGCAUCGGCUAACUCCGUGCCAGCAGCCGCGGUAAUACGGAGGAUGCGAGCGUUAUCCGGAUUUAUUGGGUUUAAAGGGUGCGUAGGCGGGCUGUUAAGUCAGCGGUAAAAGCCCGGGGCUCAACCCCGGCGAGCCGUUGAAACUGGCUG